UACGGGGGGGGCAAGCGUUGCUCGGAAUAACUGGGCGUAAAGGGCGCGUAGGCGGGAUGGCAAGUCAGUCGUGAAAUCUCUCGGCUCAACCGAGAAACGUCGGCUGAUACUGCCGUUCUUGAGGGAUGCAGAGGAGACUGGAAUUCCCGGUGUAGCGGUGAAAUGUGUAGAGAUCGGGAGGAACACCGGUGGCGAAGGCGGGUCUCUGGGCAUCUCCUGACGCUGAGGCGCGAAAGCGUGGGGAGCAAACAGG
rnacentral:rRNA from 1 species